rnacentral:lncRNA from 12 species
AUAAACAGGUAUUUUGUUGUUAAAGAUGUUACACAGAGUUGGUGGAGUUCUCAAUCACUGUGUUGAGGUAGUAAGUAAGCAUAAAAAUAACUUAUUUAGCAGCAAAGCUGACUUACAGCACACUAUUUUGUUGAAUAAUUAAUUAUUCUUCAGUUAUAAUGUUUGUUUAAUUCCUUUUUUUCCCCCCUUAAACCAUAUUGGGAGCUUAUUACCCAAACAACUCCAUUCAAUAAUGUGCUUUUCACAUCCGUAAAUUAUUUUAAUGCAAUCGCUCAUUAAUCAUUGCAGAUGUUGGAAAUCCUUCUGACUCCAGUGCUUGUUGGCAGAGCUUCUGAUGGAAAUUCUUAUCUUUGUUGGAAUAUAGUCCUAGACAUCUGGGAUGAAAAACACAGAAUCUGUUUCAUGUGCUGCUAGUGAGAGAAUGUUGUUUGCAUGCUUUCCUCAAAGGUAAGAUACUUGUCAGAGAGCAAAAAAACAUUUGUAAAAUUCAUGUGGCAACAAAGAGGAAAUUCAGUAUGGAUGGAGUUGAAAAUUUGACCUAACUUAUCAAUGGAAAUUAAGAUUUGGAUCAUUAUCUGGCACAGUUUAGGAUUUUCAGAUUGGACCAGCAGUUCUUGUUUUGUCAUGGGGUAAAUGUUGAGCUUGUUUAUGUGAAGAGUUUUAUUUUUUUAAUUACUAUAGCUGGGCAUAGUUAGUGGAAGAAGAGGUUCUAAGAAAACAAUAAAAACCUGCUGAAUUUCCUUACAAUAUGCUUAUUUUGAAGCGGGAAGGAAGCGAACUGACAUGGAUAACAUAUGAACCUACUAUAUCUCCUUGAUGUGGAUAUUAAAGGAACCUUGAAAAUAGUUUAUGGGGAAGUUGUUGGAGGCUUCUAAUUUUAAAUUCUUAACAGGAAAUCAUUAAACUGUAGAGGAGCCAACAUAACAGACUGUUGCUCUAAAACAAGAGCUAAAUGCAGAGCAUCCACAUGAACUUG